rnacentral:sRNA from 1 species
CCGACCUUGGUGAAGGGAUCGUUGGUGCGGGCGUAGUCGUUGAGCGCGCCCGCGCCGCGAUCGAGGCGGA